UCGGUGGCGGUGGCGCGCCACCCCGGACGAGCCGUCGUACCCGGCAGGACAAGACGACGUGGG
rnacentral:ncRNA from 1 species